rnacentral:rRNA from 1 species
UACGGAAGGCAGCAGUGGGGAAUAUUGCACAAUGGGCGCAAGCCUGAUGCAGCCAUGCCGCGUGUAUGAAGAAGGCCUUCGGGUUGUAAAGUACUUUCAGUCGUGAGGAAGGUGUUAAGGUUAAUAACCUUAGCAAUUGACGUUAGCGACAGAAGAAGCACCGGCUAACUCCGUGCCAGCAGCCGCGGUAAUACGGAGGGUGCGAGCGUUAAUCGGAAUUACUGGGCGUAAAGGGCACGCAGGCGGUUAAUUAAGUUGGAUGUGAAAUCCCCGGGCUUAACCUGGGAAUGGCAUUCAAGACUGGUUAGCUAGAGUCUUGUAGAGGGGGUAGAAUUCCAUGUGUAGCGGUGAAAUGCGUAGAGAUGUGGAGGAAUACCGGGUGGCGAAGGCGGCCCCUGGGCAAAGGCUGACGCUCAUGUGCGAAAGCGUGGGGAGCAAACAGGAUUAGAUACC